rnacentral:rRNA from 1 species
UGACCUCUGACCUCAA